rfam:Triticum urartu cultivar G1812 contig798410, whole genome shotgun sequence.
AAGAUACUCCCUCUGUCCGGAAAAGUUUAUCCCUCAAAUGGAUGUAUCUAGUAUAAGUUAGUACUAUAUAUAUCCAUUUGGAAGACAAGUUGGGACAAGUUUUUUCGGACGGAGGGAGUAACAA